UACGGAGGGCGCGAGCGUUACCCGGAUUUACUGGGCGUAAAGGGAGUGUAGGCGGCUUGGGGCGUCCCAUGUGAAAGGCCACGGCUCAACCGUGGAGGAGCGUGGGAUACGCUCAGGCUAGACGGCGGGAGAGGGUGGUGGAAUUCCCGGAGUAGCGGUGAAAUGCGCAGAUACCGGGAGGAACGCCGAUGGCGAAGGCAGCCACCUGGCUCACUUGUGACGCUGAGGCGCGAAAGCGUGGGGAGCAAACCGG
rnacentral:rRNA from 1 species